rnacentral:rRNA from 1 species
AACGAACGCUGGCGGCAUGCCUAACACAUGCAAGUCGAACGAGACCUUCGGGUCUAGUUGCGCACGGGUGCGUAACGCGUGGGAACCUGCCCUUAGGUUCGGAAUAACUCCCCGAAAGGGGUGCUAAUACCGGAUAAUGUCUUCGGACCAAAGAUUUAUCGCCUUUGGAUGGGCCCGCGUUGGAUUAGCUAGUUGGUAGGGUAAAAGCCUACCAAGGCGACGAUCCGUAGCUGGUCUGAGAGGAUGAUCAGCCACACUGGGACUGAGACACGGCCCAGACUCCUACGGGAGGCAGCAGUGGGGAAUAUUGGACAAUGGGCGAAAGCCUGAUCCAGCAAUGCCGCGUGAGUGAUGAAGGCCUUAGGGUUGUAAAGCUCUUUUACCCGGGAUGAUAAUGACAGUACCGGGAGAAUAAGCUCCGGCUAACUCCGUG